rnacentral:rRNA from 1 species
GUACACGCUGUGACUAGCAUAUCAAUAAGCGGAGGAAAAGAAACUAACAAGGAUUCCCCUAGUAACGGCGAGUGAAGCGGGAAGAGCUCAAAUUUGAAAUCUUAAAGGGUUUCCCUUUACGAAUUGUAGUUUAAAGAAGUGUUUUCUGUUGAGGUUUUGGUAAAAGUUCUUUGGAAUAGGACAUCAUAGAGGGUGAGAAUCCCGUAUUUGACCUUUACUUUCAACUUUGUGAUACACUUUCAAAGAGUCGGAUUGUUUGGGAAUGCAGUCCAAAAUGGGUGGUAAAUUUCAUCUAAAGCUAAAUAUUGGCGAGAGACCGAUAGCGAACAAGUACCGUGAGGGAAAGAUGAAAAGAACUUUGAAAAGAGAGUUAAACAGUACGUGAAAUUGUCAAAAGGGAAGCGUUUGACACCAGUGUUGUUUUUCUGAAAAUCAAUUAAAGAACUGUUUAUGCUAAGUUGUUUAGACUUUAUCAGCUAUCUGUUUAGUUUUGAGCUUUUCUUUAAUGCACUUUUCAGUUAACAAGUCAACAUCAAUUUCUUUUGCUGUAAAAAAGCUUGAGGAAGGUGGCUUGAGAUUCGUCUUAAGUGUUUAUAGCCUCUUGCCUAUGCAGUCGGAGAGAUUGAGGUCUGCAGCGUAGAUCCUUCGGGGCUAAAUGCAUUUGUGCUAAGUUAUAGCAUUUCAUAGACAACUUGUUGACUAUGAUUUGUCUUGUAGCUUACUCGCUUAUGUUAUUUUACCUACGCUUAGGAUGUUGACAGCAGUAUAGACUGU